rnacentral:lncRNA from 1 species
GCAAACUCUUCUGUCUCUUUCUCUCUUCCACUAUUCCUGCAAUUAAAUUCUCUCAUUUUCCAGGAAAUAUCUAGAAACCCACCAAGAAGAAGCUUCGAUCCAGAAGAUGGCUUCACUUACUUCAAUCGCCACGCCUUAUCGUAGCUCCAGUUAUCCUUCUUCGUCGCAGGCUUUGCGACUGAAAAUCUCCGGAAACACUCUGUUCUCUGCCGGAGUUAGAUCCCCUGCGACUUCAUCAUCGCUUCUGACGAUUCGAAACGCUUCAACGAAACCUGCGAAACCAGCAGGUAAUAGAGAGCGAGAACUUCAUGUAUCUAUUUUGCAAUGUGAGAGUAGGUUAGAUUAUUAACCCCUUGAUUUGCUGUUCUUCUGGUUGUGUCUCUUGGAGGGAUUAGCUGAAGUCGAUUGGAGACAGAAGAGAGAGCUUCUAUUGGAGAAAAGGGUAUGCACAUUUUGAUGGUGAAGAUUGUGUAAAAGCACCUGACUUAUCAUCACUCAUAAAUUACUCAAAGAUAAAGAUUUUUCAAGAUGAAAAUGUAAGAGACAAAGUUUGGCUUAGCUUAACUAUUGACCUGUUGUUGUUAGGUG